UGAUAGCUGUGAACCCGAAGUUACUAAAGGCUCAUAUAUAGGGGCACAGAUAAUUCGGCGGAGCGAAUGUCAAGUUAGGAAACUGGCGACAA
rnacentral:ncRNA from 1 species